AGAGUUUGAUCCUGGCUCAGGAUGAACGCUGGCGGCGUGCCUAACACAUGCAAGUUGAGCGAUUUACUUCGGUAAAGAGCGGCGGACGGGUGAGUAACGCGUGGGUAACCUACCCUGUACACACGGAUAACAUACCGAAAGGUAUGCUAAUACGGGAUAAUAUAUUUGAGAGGCAUCUCUUAAAUAUCAAAGGUGAGCCAGUACAGGAUGGACCCGCGUCUGAUUAGCUAGUUGGUAAGGUAACGGCUUACCAAGGCGACGAUCAGUAGCCGACCUGAGAGGGUGAUCGGCCACAUUGGAACUGAGACACGGUCCAAACUCCUACGGGAGGCAGCAGUGGGGAAUAUUGCACAAUGGGCGAAAGCCUGAUGCAGCAACGCCGCGUGAGUGAUGAAGGCCUUCGGGUCGUAAAACUCUGUCCUUAAGGAAGAUAAUGACGGUACUUGAGGAGGAAGCCCCGGCUAACUACGUGCCAGCAGCCGCGGUAAUACGUAGGGGGCUAGCGUUAUCCGGAUUUACUGGGCGUAAAGGGUGCGUAGGCGGUCUUUCAAGUCAGGAGUGAAAGGCUACGGCUCAACCGUAGUAAGCUCUUGAAACUGGGAGACUUGAGUGCAGGAGAGGAGAGUGGAAUUCCUAGUGUAGCGGUGAAAUGCGUAGAUAUUAGGAGGAACACCAGUUGCGAAGGCGGCUCUCUGGACUGUAACUGACGCUGAGGCACGAAAGCGUGGGGAGCAAACAGGAUUAGAUACCCUGGUAGUCCACGCUGUAAACGAUGAGUACUAGGUGU
rnacentral:rRNA from 1 species